GCGGGGAUAGCUCAGUUGGGAGAGCGUUAGACUGAAGUUCACUUCAUCAGAUUGACCCGUUUGGGUUAUCUAAAGGUCGCCGGUUCAAUCCCGGCUCACCGCA
rnacentral:tRNA from 1 species